rnacentral:rRNA from 1 species
UACGUAGGGGGCAAGCGUUGUCCGGAAUUAUUGGGCGUAAAGAGCGUGUAGGCGGUCCGGUAAGUCAGCUGUGAAAGUCAAGGGCUCAACCCUUGAAUGCCGGUUGAUACUGUCGGGCUAGAGUCCGGAAGAGGCGAGUGGAAUUCCCGGUGUAGCGGUGAAAUUCGUAGAUAUUGGGAAGAACACCGGUGGCGAAGGCGGCCAACUGGACCACAACUGACGCUGAGGCGCGAAAGCGUGGGGAGCAAACAGG